UCCAUCUGAGGCUCUCACCAAAAUAUAUAAUAUAUAUAAUAUAUAUUAUAUUAAUAGGCACUUGCAGAUGUUGUCCCUUUCUCUUUCUUAAACUCUAGCUUUUAGAUAGAGGCGAUCUUCUAGAUUCAUCUAUGGCUUCGAAGCGGAUCUUAAAGGAGCUCAAGGACCUCCAGAUGAAAGAUCCUCCUCCUAACUCUUGCAGUGCUGCUUCUUUUCCGGCUUGAUCUGUGUUGUUUCUAGUUUAUGAGGAUCUGGGUUCUGAUCCGUGAUGGUGUUUUGGGAUGAAGAAAGAAAAAGUACCAGGGAAAGAGAGAUGGGCUCUUAGACGAAAGAUAAUAAAAUAAUCUUUUGAUCCUUCUACAGUAGCUCGCGUUGGCCAAGAAAACUAAUUUACUGUAGCAAUAAGUCAAGAUAGCAUGAAUUUAGCUAGUCUGAUGUGAGAACUUUUUGACAAAUACGGUCAAAUUAUAGACUUGCAUUGGCAUUUGACAUU